UACCAAACUGUACGGUUUCGCAACAGUGUGUGUGAACUUGAAAGCAGACAUUAGUUGAACAUAUUGUGAACAUAUUGUGGCAAGACAAAUGGAUAACUCUCAAAUCCAGCAGGAGAUUGACAGAUAUGACUUGAAGGAACAACGCAGAGCUUUGAUGUUGUGUACCAAGAAGGGUCACAAGGGUGCUGAUGGCGACCUCAAAAUAAUGACCAAACUUUUCAUGGAUUAUGGUUUCCUGUAUAAAAUUAAGAUUGACAAAACUGCAAAGGAAAUGAAGAAGGCAGUCUCUGAAUUCAGAGACGACAUCAACAGAAGCCCAGAAAACACCAGCUGUGUUUUUGUAGUGAUCACCUCCCAUGGACACCGUGAUGUCAUCAUAGGUGCAGACAACAACUGUCUGCCAGUGAAAGAUAUAAUUGAACCGUUUGGAGACGAGCUGUGCUCCAAGAUGAAGGGGAAGCCCAAGGUCUUCAUCAUAAAUGCCUGUAGAGGGCCGGAGGAGGAUUUUGGAGUGCCUCUUUACUCUGCUGCUGAUACUAAACCAUCAAAGAAGGCCCAGUCCACACGAACAUACAGGUCCAGCCGAGUACCACCAUGUAUUGAUGAUAUGCUGGUUGCAUAUUCAUCUAUGACCGAUUAUGUGUCCUUGAUGAGUUCUGUGGGGUCACAUAUGAUUGUCGACAUAGGUGAAGUGUUUGAUGAUUCAGCCACAGAGAAAGAACACGUCUAUGACUUAUUGGUGAAGGCCAAUGCAAAGAUGGUGAUGAGAGAUACAACAAAGAAAGUGGUGAUGACAAUCGAGUCCACCCUCAAGAGGCUCCUUUACCUGGAACGUAAAACUGGAGCUGAGACAACUAAUCUAGAAAAGUAAAGAUAAUAAGUUGGAAUGUAUAUGCAAUUACGACAAUUAUCAUCAGGGGCAGGAUAGUAACCUGUCUGGAUGAAAUCCCUGAGCCGAAAAGGAAGGAUGAAUGUUUUCUCUUGUGAAGUAAAGGAGCUGGAAUAGCUGGUCAACAGAGUGAAAAAGAUGAAGGAGACCCUGCAGAGGGACAGUUUAGAGGAUUGAAGCGGCCAUCUUGAUACACAGGCAUUGGAAAUGUAGUACAUAAACAGUGAAUUUGCUUACUAGUGAAUAGACUUCAGGGGGAAGCCAAACGGAAGCAAACGGGGUGGGACCUUCCUGAAAUAAUGUAGAGAAAAACGUGAAGAAAAUAAUGAUUAUUGAAUCCAGAUAUGUUAUGUUGUAGUCAUGUUAAAUGUACUGUCUGUAUUUCUUAAUGUCUCAAUGUAUGGAAUAUUCUAAUUUAAUGCUAAAUUGUUCGGGGCUUGUUGUGUGAUGUUUCAUAUGAUAAAUUAUAAAUAUGUUGUCAUUGUCUUUUAUGUAAAUACUCUUAUGAUGAGGAUGCUGAUCAGCGUGACAAAAUCUAAUGCUAUAGAUUACAAUAGUUUUACAUGCUCUAUCCAGAACAGAAUAGAUGCUUAGAAAAACUGCAACAUUUCUCCCAACAGUUAUGCUGGAGAGGCAGG